CCAUCCUCGUAACAGUUCCGGGCUGCCCGCGCCGCGCAAGGGCGCGCGGGCCAACCGGGCGGC
rnacentral:tRNA from 1 species